rnacentral:rRNA from 1 species
CCUACGGGAGGCAGCAGUGAGGAAUAUUGGUCAAUGGGCGCAAGCCUGAACCAGCCAUCCCGCGUGCAGGAUGACGGCCCCAUGGGUUGUAAACUGCUUUUGUACAGGAAGAAAAAUCCCUACGUGUAGGGACCUGCCGGUACUGUACGAAUAAGCAUCGGCUAACUCCGUGCCAGCAGCCGCGGUAAUACGGAGGAUGCAAGCGUUAUCCGGAUUCAUUGGGUUUAAAGGGUGCGUAGGCGGCUUUUUAAGUCAGUGGUGAAAUCCUGCCGCUUAACGGUAGAAUUGCCAUUGAUACUGAAGAGCUUGAGUACAGUUGAGGUAAGCGGAAUGUGUAGUGUAGCGGUGAAAUGCUUAGAUAUUACACAGAACACCAAUUGCGAAGGCAGCUUACUAAACUGCAACUGACGCUGAUGCACGAAAGCGUGGGGAGCGAACAGGAUUAGAUACCCUGGUAGUCCACGCCGUAAACGAUGAUCACUCGCUGUAUGCGAUACACAGUAUGCGGCCAAGCGAAAGCAUUAAGUGAUCCACCUGGGGAGUACGAUCGCAAGGUUGAAACUCAAAUGAAUUGACGG